GACGAACGCUGGCGGCGUGCCUAAUACAUGCAAGUAGACCGCAGUUGCGAACGGGUGAGUAACGCGUAGGUAACUGCCUCAUAGCGGGGGAUAACUAUUGGAAACGAUAGCUAAUACCGCAUACUGUGAGAUGGACCUGCGUUGUAUUAGCUAGUUGGUGAGGUAAAGGCUCACCAAGGCGACGAUACAUAGCCGACCUGAGAGGGGGAUCCGUCAGAAGGGUAAGGGGAGACGGCGCCGAAGCGAGCGGGAGGCAGCAGUAGGGAGUCUGCGGAAAUGGAGGGAAGUCUGACCGGGCAACGCGGCGGGAGUGAAGAAGGGUAUCGGAUCGUAAAGCUCUUUUGUGAGAGAUGCGGUAACUAACCAGUAAGGAACGGCUAACUACGGGCCAACAGCCGGGGUAAUAC
rnacentral:rRNA from 1 species